GACUUAGCUCAGCGGUAGAGCAAUCGGCUGUUAACCGAUUGGUCGUUGGUUCGAAUCCGACAGU
rnacentral:tRNA from 1 species